CGACGAACCAUCCUGUUGAUUGAAGCUUGCUUCUUGAUUCAGAUUUUGGUGAGUGGCGGACGGGUGAGUAACACGUGGGUAACCUGCCCAAAAGUGGGGGAUAACAUUUGGAAACAAGUGCUAAUACCGCAUAACAACUGCUUUCACAUGAUCGCAGCUUGAAAGAUGGCUCUGCUAUCGCUUUUGGAUGGACCCGCGGCGUAUUAGCUAGUUGGUGAGGUAAUAGCUCACCAAGGCAAUGAUACGUAGCCGACCUGAGAGGGUAAUCGGCCACAUUGGGACUGAGACACGGCCCAAACUCCUACGGGAGGCAGCAGUAGGGAAUCUUCCACAAUGGGCGAAAGCCUGAUGGAGCAAUGCCGCGUGAGUGAAGAAGGUUUUCGGAUCGUAAAACUCUGUUGUUGAAGAAGAACAUGCGUGAGAGUAACUGUUCACGUACUGACGGUAUUCAACCAGAAAGCCACGGCUAACUACGUGCCAGCAGCCGCGGUAAUACGUAGGUGGCAAGCGUUGUCCGGAUUUAUUGGGCGUAAAGAGAAUGUAGGCGGUUUAUUAAGUUUGAAGUGAAAGCCCUCGGCUCAACCGAGGAAGUGCUUCGA
rnacentral:rRNA from 1 species